AACGGACUCAUCCCACCCGUGUUGCAGCGGGGGCGCACUAAAAUGGAUGUGGAGUUUGCAUAAAGAUUUGGAAUGCCCCAACUGACCGCAAAGGAAGCAAAAUAAAGGCUGGUGUUCAUACUUGAAGAUUGCAAAUGUUGAUUCUCCAUUUCUCAGAUUGCACCUCUUUUUUCUGAACAGAGGAUUUCAGACAUCAAUGGCCGCCCAAACCCAUAGACAACCCCUCAUCCAAGCCAUAGAAGAUGAACAUGUGUCAUAGUCCACAAAGCCCCCCAACUGGUUCCCAAACUGCCUAGCCAUUGUCUCCGAUACCCAACCUAGAAGGAAUGAGUGAAUCUGUACCCAAAAGAGCCUCGUGUCAAUGGCUACUUUCAUUGGAUGUUCUCCCUCCCUAAGGUGGUGCACAACUAAGAAGUGGUUGUAAAAAGUCCAUGGCCCUUUGUUGAGCACUCUUUGGAUAUCCACUUUGUAAAAAAAUCUGUACAAGUAAUGGCCAAAACUGAGAUCUACAAUAUUUACUCUCCUUAUCAGCCUCCACAGGUCUGCUAGUGUAUUCC
rnacentral:lncRNA from 1 species